GAUGAACGCUGGCGGCGUGCCUAAUACAUGCAAGUCGAACGAAGCCUUCGGGCUUAGUGGCGGACGGGUGAGUAACACGUUGGUACCUGCCUCGAAGUGGGGAAUAACUGGCCGAAAGGUCGGCUAAUACCGCAUGUGAUCGCAAGAUCAAAGUCGUAAGACGCUUCGAGAGGGGCCUGCGUCUCAUUAGCUAGUUGGUAGGGUAAUGGCCUACCAAGGCGACGAUGGGUAGCUGGAUCGAGAGGUUGACCAGCCACACUGGGACUGAGAUACGGCCCAGACUCCUACGGGAGGCAGUAGUAAGGAAUCUUCCACAAUGGACGAAAGUCUGAUGGAGCAACGCCGCGUGCAGGAUGACGGCCUUCGGGUUGUAAACUGCUUUUAUAUGGGAAGAUUAUGACGGUACCAUAUGAAUAAGGACCGGCUAACUACGUGCCAGCCGCCGCGGUAA
rnacentral:rRNA from 1 species